AUGGCCUGGAGCACACUCAGGAUGCAGGUGGUGCUGAUGGGAAGGCCCCUUAUCACCCUGCACAUACUAGGAAAUUCCCGGGCAGAGGAGCUCCACGGUCGCCAGCGCAGCUGUUUCGGCCAGCGCGGCUGUGCCGGCCGGCGCCGCUGCUCUGCCCCGCGCGGCUGCUUUGUCGGCGCCCCGGAGCCGCGGUUCUCCGUACAAAAUACACCGGUCCGGGUGCCCUUUUGGCUGGCGAUUGGAGCCACGGGAAGUCGCCCAUAUGCUGGUUCAAAAAGGGGACAGAGCAGAGAACCAGGACAUGGAAAGAGGCUAUCUCUAUCUUUACGCCUGGUGGCGCUUUCAACACUAAGCUCUUAGAUUCUGCUUGAAAUCACCUCUCAACAAACAAAACAAACUUGGAAAACUUACUGCACUCAUUCUGCUAAAGAAAUAGGCAUCAUAGCUGGGGAAACAGGGAUUCACAGAACACAGGCUGUUCCCUGCACAUUUUUCCUCCUCAGAUAUCAGUUCAUCUGUCAACCAACUGAUGUGAGAGUUGAGGCCAUGUGUUCCCUAUUAUUCCUGGGCACUCUCCUCAGAGGAAGAAAGGGUCAGGAAGUCCUGUUAGGGGAUGCCUGCUAACAGGCUAAUCUCCCUAAGCUGUGAGAGCUCUAGUCAUCAGGUGCAGACUUUUCAGGAGAGAGAAAUGAGGCAGGCAUUCUGAACCUGAAGCUUCAUCACAUUUUGUUCAUCUCAAGAUAGUUUUGACAGGCUGUUUUGGAACAUGUCUGGAAGGUGAACUCUGAAGAAGAGCAUGUACUUUGAUGUGACUCAGAUGAGGUCUUUCAUGGGGAUCAGGAAUUCAAUGCCCAGUAUCUGAGCUGGUGUCUUUGAGGUCAGUAGGUUGCCUCUUUGUAUCAAGUCCAUUGUUACCAGGCAGUAGGCUGGAGAUUCUGAAUGGCUUCCAGAACCCCUCUCUGAUUCUCUUUGGGAGAUGGGGUCUGAAAAAGACAAAGUCAGUAUUUUUGGGAAAUUCUAGAAAGUCUGGUUGGAAACCUGGGAAGACCUCUUGCCUAAUGCCUAAAUGCCCAAUUUUCAGCGCUAGCCAUAUAGAUGCCUGGUAGGCAUAGAGCUGGGUUUGCGUUUAUAUCAGCACAAUGUAUGUCAGAGUUGAAGAACAGCCAGGACAAAGUGUCUUGGUCACAGGCUGGGGAACAUCUUAAAAGCAAACUUCUAGCCUGCUGAUUUUCAUCUUGGCAGUGAGUGUUGGGUCCUGGCCAAAGUGCUUGAAUGCAGCAUGAGUCCAAUCCAUAAAUACACCUUCGAAUGGAGAAAUGUUUGUAUCUUUUCAGUUUGAUGCAAUCAAGGUGCAAUUACCAUGCUAUUGGUUUGUUUACUUUUUAUUAUUUAAUAUCAAAUCUAAGACACAAUACAUUAAAUGCUUAUUGAUAUGUGUAUUUGUUCUUCACUAGCCUCAUAGUAUCUGCCUAAUUUUAAUCCUUCUUCCAUUUUGUAGGUUUCAACUUAUUUUAUUGUAGAAUAUUAAAUCUAAUACAGACAUUGUCAUUUUUACAUAUAAUUUUCUUUUAUUUAAAAUAUUUUCUAUUGGCAUUUUACCUUAAAUUUUGGACUAUUUUAUCAUAUAAAUAGCUUCAUUUCUAUUUAGAAGAUAAAAGUAUUUGGGUUUCUUGUCUUGUAAUUUUUAUAUUACUUAGUAAUGAGAUAACCAUUAAUGUUUUCAGGUAUUUUAAAUUUUAGAUAAUGACUCAUUAUAUCCAUGUGAAGUUUGUUUUUGCUGCAUAUGUGGGUUGGAGAGCUGUUUUCACUUCUGCUGCAUCUUUACUCUGAUCUCCCCAGAACUCAUAGCUCUUGUAGUUGGGAAAGAGCAGGUCACCAUUCCAAUAAAUAGGACAAAUUCCAUAAUAACACACUACAAUUGAGUUUGAAAGCAGGACAUGUCUUCAACGCAUAAACGACAUGAGCCUACAUAUGUACAACAAAGCAAUGUAUAAGUUACAGUUUGGAUGGAAAAGAAAAGCA